UACAUAAAGUUUGCUCACUCAAGAGAGUCUUGCUCAUCCCUAUGAGGGGAGGUUAUGUCAACAUUUCAAGCAUUAACUUUUGGGUCGUUUAUAAUCGCCCUGUUGACGUAUAUAAAUAAAAAAUAGACCUCCCUUGAGCCUGGAAACCUUAAAGGGUUAGGUCUACGCAGAUUGAACAUCGAGCAAGCCCUUUGAUGGGCAUCUUUUUGUACAAACAGUGGCCUGUGGGUGUUAGCGCACCCCAGG
rnacentral:sRNA from 1 species